UGAGGAAUAUUGCACAAUGGGCGCAAGCCUGAUGCAGCAACGCCGCGUGCGGGACGAAGGCCUUCGGGUCGUAAACCGCUUUUCUGGGGGAAGAGCAAGGACGGUACCUCAGGAAUAAGUCUCGGCUAACUACGUGCCAGCAGCCGCGGUAAAACGUAGGAGGCGAGCGUUAUCCGGAUUUACUGGGCGUAAAGCGCACGCAGGCGGCUCUGUUAGUCGGACGUGAAAGCUCCCGGCUUAACCGGGAGAGGCCGUUCGAUACUGCGGGGCUUGAGGUAGGGAGAGGAAUGCGGAAUUCCCGGUGUAGUGGUGGAAUGCGUAGAUAUCGGGAGGAACACCUGUGGCGAAAGCGGCUUUCUGGCCCUCACCUGACGCUGAGGUGCGAAAGCGUGGGUAGCAAACA
rnacentral:rRNA from 1 species